ACUGACUGACGAGCUCCCCGCUGGAUUCUCCUUCCUUCGCUAAUUUUUCCAUUUUCUUUCCUAAUUUCAGAAAUCAGUUAAAAUAAAAACGAGUAAAAAAGAAAAUAGAAUUUUUAUCCCAUAAAUUUCACGGUUGCGCGUCGAUCUUGGGAUCGGCCUUUGCCUACCGUACGUGGGAGGCGAAGGAGGUUCUUCUUCAAGAGGUUCUUCCUUGGUCUGUUUCUGUGGAUUUAGCACUAUUUUUCAAGAUAUGGAACUUGAGCAUGUUAUAUCAGGUUGCUAUGAGCGGGGAGUUAUAUCAUUCCACAAAGCUCUACAUUGGAGGUUCAUCAUUCAUAUGUACUUUCUUCUCAUCUCAUUUGUCAACUUUACCUAGUGGCCUCUUGGUGUUCCAUGACCUCUAUGGGUAACUCUAUUCUGAAGCUGUCAGAACUAGGGUGCCUUCUACAGAUAAUCAAACAUCAUGUGCAUUAUACAAAAACAACAUCUGCUUAGAUUUCGAGCACAACAUCGAAGAUAUAAUUUAUGGGGGUUAAUUUAUGAGCUACCAUUUCUGUUACUUUCCAGUUGGCUACAGACACAUCUAAUUGUGAACUCCAAUCAUACUGAUGCGCGUUGCUACUUUCUGAGACAAUGGAAUGAGUUCCUUGCUUAAUACAGUGAAUUAUCCUACAAGUCUUAUGGAGAAGCCAGAGCAUAUUGACAUGAGUUCUGCUUCCAUUGAAGAGUUUUAAGUUAAAUGUGCUCACUUGGUGCAUUUCCUAUCAUACUUUGUGAAAGAUUCUCCAUUUCCGUUGAUAAAAACCUUGAAGCUUCUGUUCUCUUCGCUUGAAAAGAUGGAGCGGUAUAAAAUAAUAAAGGAAAUUGGUGAUGGCGCUUUUGGAAGUGUAUGGCGUGCCAUAAAUAAACAGAGUGGUGAAAUUGUAUGUUCUCCAUAAAUAAACAGAGUGGUGAAAUUGUAUGUUCUCCAUAAAUAAACAGAGUGGUGAAAUUGUUGCAACUAAGAAAAUUAAAAGAAAAUAUUAUUCUUGGGAAUAAUGCCUGAAUCUUUGGGAAGUGAAGGCCUUGUGAAGGAUGGACCAUCCUACCAUCGUGAAACUGAAGGAGGUCAUAAGGAAAAAUGAUAUUUUGUGCUUCGUAUUUGAGUACAUGGCAGUUUUCGGUGCUUUCCUUGAUUGUUAUUGUACUGCAGUAGCGGGGUUAUGACAUAUUCUUAUGACUUUUUUCUUGAAUGUUGUCAAGGAAUGCAAUCCUUACUAGCUUAUAAAAGAUAGAAGCAAGCUUUUCUGAGAGUCUGAGGUCUGGAAUUGGUGUUUUCAAAUAUUUCAAGCUCUUGCUUGUAUGCACCAACAUGGUUACUUUCACCGUGACCUCAAGCCUGGUAGUAUAUUACUACAACGCUGACAUAUCUAUUUACUGCAUAUUGUCGUUUGCCUCAUUCUGAUGCGUCUUUUGGCACCAGAGUGCAAGAGAUUAGUUUUCUUACGUUCGGAUUAUUUGGUAUUUUCUUAUCACAAGUUCCCUUGCCAUUGACCAUCUCUAUUAGUAUUUUCUUAUGUUUGGAUUAUUAUUUUUUAAAUCACGAUUUUGUUAUUGUUCUAAUGCAUCUUUUGCCACUAGAAUACAAUAGGUUAUUUUUCUUCUGUUCAGACUCUUUGGUAUUUGCCAGAAUUUCCUUGCCAUUGGUGUCUCCACCUCUCCUUGCAUAGUUAGUUUUCACUAAAUGAUAGAUGUACAUGUCAACUCAUUCAAAUAACAAUUAAAGUUCCCCUUAACUCUCUGCUCAUCAGUCAAGAAAAGAGCUGCAUUUCUACAUACAAUAAACUUUUAGCUUGUGAGCUAUCUUUUUAUCAGCAAAAGGUAAGGAUAACUUGGAGUAUACAAGGUAACAGGAAUACAAGUUUUUUCCACUCAAUUAUUAAAUCUAACACCAAAAUAGGGUGUUAACACUAUAUAAUAGUGUUGGUGGGAAAAUUUCUGA